rnacentral:misc_RNA from 1 species
AACCUAGCACACCUGCGGUGUGUACCUGCGGAAGGAUCAUUACCUAGAGUUGUAGGCUUUGCCUGCUAUCUCUUACCCAUGUCUUUUGAGUACCUUACGUUUCCUCGGUGGGCUCGCCCACCGAUUGGACAAAUUUAAACCCUUUGCAGUUGAAAUCAGCGUCUGAAAAAACUUAAUAGUUACAACUUUCAACAAUGGAUCU